rnacentral:lncRNA from 1 species
AUGAACGACGACGAGGCGGUGGGGGAGGCAAAAAAAGCAUCUUAUACUAAAGAUCCGUCCAGCAGCGAUGUUCCACAUUUCUUUCAGUCAUCUCAAACUGUGGCGGAAGAGAAGCCAGAUGCCUCAGUGGAGAAAAAAUACGAUAAAUUCCAUUCCUUUCAGGAUCAGCAGAAAAUAAAUUUCACAAAGGGCACUCAUUCUGAAGAAAUAGUAGAAGGAAAUGUGAGCUCUGCACGCUCCUCCAGAAUCAUGCAUCUCCUUUCUACACCAUCCAAACAUGUGAGCACCAGCUCCCAGAAGCCUCCACUCAGGAGUUCCUCUGCAUGGUCCAACCUCUCCAGCCUGCGGGUCAUGGGCUCCUUCAGGAAGCUGCGCUCCUCUGUCCUCCAAGGUAUCCAGAGCCGGGCGGAUGCCGUGGAGCCAAGUCCAAGCCGAGGAAAUGACACGUCGCCCCAUCGGGGUGAGGUGGAAGUGAUAAAGUCCAAUCGGAGCGAAGAGAUCAUAAUGCUGCCUAGUAGGAGCCAGGAGGACGAUGUAGUAGAUAAUCAGCGGCAAGGGUUCAUAUCAGAUCGGAACGGCAGCGAUGAGAGCCGAGUGCUGUCGAAUGGGAUGUCGGCCGGUGAGCGGCUAGCGUGGAAUACUGCUGAGGUACGUGGUACGGAGGGAGAGUCGGACGACGAGGCCGCCUUGUGCAGAAACGCUCGCUUCUCUCGUAGUCUUCGCAAAGCCUACGGACCGGGACGCAUCGCGCUCGCGAACACGGGACAACGUUCGCAGCACGAUGCCGUGCUGCUGCGAGACGUAGACGCGGCCGCGCUCUGCCGGGAGCCGCCGGAGAGGGCCGGCGGCGGAAAGGCGUUCGGUAGGCUGAGCAGAAGCACGGACAGCCUCUUCAAAAGCCCAUUCAAGCGUAAGGCGCCGUGCCCCCGACCGGAGGUUCCGCCGAACGGCGACAUCCGGCGAGCCGCUAGCGCCUCGUCGGUGGAGAUCCGGGAAAACGGCCUCAGCCACUGGAAGAGCCACGUGCGGAAGCUGGUGAGCAGCAUGACUGAACUGUCUGCCCGUAAGAGGUGGAGCCCGUCUGCCCAGCCCGCGGCGUCUGCUGUCAGCAAGCUGCACGACGCCUACACUCGAAGAGCCCCUUGCUUACCUGAGAAUGAACGCCGGCGCCGUCCUUCACCUGCUCGCGGUGCGGACGUGCUCGCUCACCCUCUGGGAGACGGGGGCCACGGGUCACCUGCCGCGCAAGGCGCCGGCUCCCCUCGUAUUCCCCCGGUCUUUGUGACCGGUUGCGCUCAGCGCGUCACCUGUCUGGCUGAGACUUCUGAUCUUCAUCGAUCUCAUAGCGAAAGGCAGCUGACCACGGGAGAUGGAAGGCCGUUGUCUGACGCCGAGGAACCCGCGUCGCCCUGCCCUGGCCUUGAGGAGGAUCAGGUUGCACCGAUUUCGCUCGUUUGCGUUUGCAUACACGCGCAGUCACACACACUAGGGGCAGUUCGGAGUCACCAAUUCAUCACGCAUAGACCCGCAUGGUGGCCUCAGGCAGCCUGGACUGUGCAAUAA